AUUGAACGCUGGCGGCAGGCUUUACACAUGCAAGUCGAACGGUAACAGGUCUUCGGAUGCUGACGAGUGGCGAACGGGUGAGUAAUACAUCGGAACGUGCCUAGUAGUGGGGGAUAACUACUCGAAAGAGUAGCUAAUACCGCAUGAGAUCUACGGAUGAAAGCAGGGGACCUUCGGGCCUUGUGCUACUAGAGCGGCUGAUGGCAGAUUAGGUAGUUGGUGGGGUAAAGGCUUACCAAGCCUGCGAUCUGUAGCUGGUCUGAGAGGACGACCAGCCACACUGGGACUGAGACACGGCCCAGACUGCUACGGGAGGCAGCAGUGGGGAAUUUUGGACAAUGGGCGAAAGCCUGAUCCAGCAAUGCCGCGUGCAGGAUGAAGGCCCUCGGGUUGUAAACUGCUUUUGUACGGAACGAAGAGCCUGGGGCUAAUAUCCCCGGGUCAUGACGGUACCGUAAGAAUAAGCACCGGCUAACUACGUGCCAGCCGCCGCGUAAAAC
rnacentral:rRNA from 1 species